rnacentral:rRNA from 1 species
AUGAUCCCGGCCAGCCCCAGCAAGCCUUCGCCGGGAACGCACACGGGCCCCGCCGCUCGGUCCCCAGCCCGCACGGCCGCGCAGGAACUCCCGCACCGGCGGCAGCCCCGAGGGGCCUCCAAGCCGAUGCGCGAUCCACGGAGGAGGGGCUGGCCCCGAGGAGCGGGGACCCGGCGAGUCCGUCCGCCGGUCAGGAGCUGGGCGACGCCCUUCAUUAUGGCCGCCGUUUGGGGAGGGAAACGAUCAUCAGCCACGGUGAGCGGGACGGGCGCGGCGGCGGGAUUCGGACAGAGGAGCAUGGAUACGGGGGACGUCGGCGCAGGCGCGGCGGCGGCGGGCGGCGCACGGUGGGGCGGGGCAGGAGGUGGCGGCGGGAUGGAUGUCGAGAUGGGAUCGAGGAGGCAAGGUCGCGCGGGACUGCGGGUGGCUGCGCUAUUCUUUUUUAUUUUGUCUCCUUCCUACUGGUUAAUUUCUCAGAAACGCGGGGACUUUUUCGCAAAACUGCCACGACGGACGACCGGAAGCAAUAGCUGGUUUAUUAAUAGUGAACUGACCAGAUGCAAGGUACAAUGA